CCUGCUUGCGGGGUGGAUUAGUGGCGAACGGGUGAGUAACACGUGAGUAACCUGCCCUUGACUCUGGGAUAAGCCUGGGAAACUGGGUCUAAUACUGGAUAUUCAACUUCUAUCGCAUGGUGGUUGUUGGAAAGGGUUUCUGGUCAAGGAGGGACUCGCGGCCUAUCAGCUUGUUGGUGAGGUAAUGGCUCACCAAGGCGACGACGGGUAGCCGGCCUGAGAGGGUGACCGGCCACACUGGGACUGAGACACGGCCCAGACUCCUACGGGAGGCAGCAGUGGGGAAUAUUGCACAAUGGGCGAAAGCCUGAUGCAGCGACGCCGCGUGAGGGAUGACGGCCUUCGGGUUGUAAACCUCUUUCACUAGGGAAGAAGCGAGAGUGACGGUACCUGCAGAAGAAGCGCCGGCUAACUACGUGCCAGCAGCCGCGGUAAUACGUAGGGCGCAAGCGUUAUCCGGAAUUAUUGGGCGUAAAGAGCUCGUACGCGGUUUGUCGCGUCUGCCGUGAAAGUCCGGGGCUUAACUCCGGAUCUGCGGUGGGUACGGGCAGGCUAGAGUGCUGUAGGGGAGACUGGAAUUCCUGGUGUAGCGGUGAAAUGCGCAGAUAUCAGGAGGAACACCGAUGGCGAAGGCA
rnacentral:rRNA from 1 species